UCGAGGGGCAGCGGGUAGAUGAGCUUGCUCAUUUAUGCCGGCGACCGACUCACGGGUGAGUAACACGUAUGCAACCUGCCCGUCUCAGGGGGAUAAUCGUCGGAAACGGCGUCUAAUACCCCGUAUGAAGCUGGACGGCAUCGUCUGGUUUUGAAAGAAUAUCGGAGGCGGAUGGGCAUGCGGCGCAUUAGCUGGUUGGCGGGGUAACGGCCCACCAAGGCGACGAUGCGUAGGGGUUCUGAGAGGAAGGUCCCCCACACUGGUACUGAGACACGGACCAGACUCCUACGGGAGGCGGCAGUGAGGAAUAUUGGUCAAUGGGCGAGAGCCUGAACCAGCCAAGUCGCGUGAGGGAGUACUGCCCUAUGGGUUGUAAACCUCUUUUGUCGGGGAGCAAAAGCCGGACGUGUCCGGCUGUGAGAGUACCCGAAGAAAAAGCAUCGGCUAACUCCGUGCCAGCAGCCGCGGUAAUACGGAGGAUGCGAGCGUUAUCCGGAUUUAUUGGGUUUAAAGGGUGCGCAGGCGGAUUUUUAAGUCAGCGGUCAAAUCGUGGGGCUCAACCCCAUCCAGCCGUUGAAACUGGGGAUCUAGAGUGUGCGAGAGGUAUGCGGAAUGCGUGGUGUAGCGGUGAAAUGCAUAGAUAACACGCAGAACCCCGAUUGCGAAGGCAGCAUACCGGUGCACAACUGACGCUCAGGCACGAAAGCGUGGGUAUCGAACAGGAUUAGAUACCCUGGUAGUCCACGCAGUAAACGAUGAAUGCUACCUGUUUGGCCUGAUUGAAGGCUGAGCGGGACAGCGAAAGCGU
rnacentral:rRNA from 1 species